rnacentral:rRNA from 1 species
GACAGAGGGUGCAAACGUUGCUCGGAAUCACUGGGCGUAAAGGGCGUGUAGGCGGGAAGGAAAGUCGGGCGUGAAAUCCCUGGGCUCAACCCAGGAACUGCACUCGAAACUUCUUUUCUUGAGUGCCGGAGAGGAAAGCGGAAUUCCUGGUGUAGAAGUGAAAUUCGUAGAUAUCAGGAGGAACACCAGUGGCGAAGGCGGCUUUCUGGACGGUAACUGGACGC